UAUGCAGAGUGCAGCUAUGUUUUCCAUAGUUAGCAAUUGUAUCAAAAGUCACUCAAUACUCAUGCUGUUAUCUCAUAAUAUUACAUUAUUGGAGGAAUUGCUUGAAUAUACUAUCAUGAAGUCAUUUCAGUCACAAAAGUGGCUACUGUUCAAGUGAUGAACAAUGCCAAUACAAUUGGUAACUAAUCAAAUGUAGUCAUGCUAUUUAAGGGAAGACUAUUUUUCCUAGAACAGCAGAAUCUGGACAUGUGAAAUCUAUGAUGUAUCAAGUUGGUAGUAAGAGUGGCAAUAUUUUAAUACUUGUUCGUAGAAUAUAAAUGCAUUGCAUCUACUUUUAAGUAUAAAAGCAGAUAAAAAGUACCCUUGAGAGGUAAUGAAGCAAGUGCUGGGGCAGAAUAAAUAUGCUUUGGAAAGGGUAGAGCGUAUGCUUCCCCCUUUCUGGUUCUCCCAUUUGUCUUUCUGUAAUGUGUUGGUGGAGGAGCAGAAGAAAGUGAUAAAGUUGAUGUUCUUGUGAUUAGUGUGGUCUGGACAAGUCAUCAGGGAAUGUUUAAACCACUGAAUUAUUAAAAUAUUAUUCUGCCCACAACCAUGUAUUCAGAUGCUCAAAACGUGAUUUCUAAUGUUUUGUUCCUAUCAUUGAGUUAUGUUUGUUUCUGCCAGCAGGAGUCUCUAAUGUACGCAGCGCCUUUUCUGAAGUUGACAGCAACAUCAUGAUUAUGUUUAUUACCAUCUCUCUAUGACAAUAACCAGCUGUGAAUCCAUGAGGAAGAAAAAUACAAAUAUGGUCAGAAGACACAAAAGAGGAGGGCCUCCAUUAAACAGGUGGAUGGGGACCCGCAGAAGGCUUUGAGAAGGGCUGUGUUUUCAGGGCAGAGCUCGGUUUUACCUCUAUGCUGUGAAAUUAUUUAUACUACUGUGAAGUGGAUUUGAAAGUACUCUGAACCAACUGUACCUCAUGGUAAAGAAAUCCACAAAGUGCAGAACAGCAAUAAGUCGUUUCUGUUUCUUGGGACAGAAGAGAAAACCUGGAUAGAGGAGCAUUCUGCUUUCUUGAUACCAGAAAAUGCUGUUUGGGAUGCAGAGAGCACUGAGCAGGAGAGGAAAAAAGAGACAGAAAUAGUCGGUAAAUUCUUCCAAUUAGGCAAAAUUAAAAAAAAAAAAAAAAGUAAGGUCAAGAAAUGGAGAUCUUCUGUUGCAUUCAGAAGCCUUUGCUUUCAUUUCCCUCUUACUUUUUUGAAGGCGUUGGUGAAAAAAUAGUUCUGUUCUUCCUUACCAGAUCUGUCAUUAGUAGCUCUGCUUGUGCUACAACAAACUUGUUAAUAGGCAAAGAAAAUAAAAGACGGGUCAAAACAAGCCACUUCUGAAGAAAAAAGAAUGCAUUACUUGAAGUCAUGA